CAGGUUAUGAUCCUGGCUCGUGUAGCAAGAAGGAACGUGGUUCCAGUCCAUCUGGCGAAUUUUUCAACCCCGGCUACGACUGCACGGAUAUUCUGAAUAAGAAUUUUGAGUCUCGAGAUGGAUUUUAUUGGAUAAAUUUGAAUCGAGGUGCUCCCAAGAGGGUUUAUUGUGACAUGACAACAGAUGGAGGAGGAUUUGCACUGAUUGGUAAACUCAACAGUUCUGUAACAUGGAAAGUUCCAUCCAAAAACACAACAGUUGAU